rnacentral:rRNA from 1 species
UACGAAGGGGGCUAGCGUUGUUCGGAAUUACUGGGCGUAAAGCGCACGUAGGCGGAAUGUUAAGUCAGGGGUGAAAUACCGGGGCUCAACCCCGGAACUGCCUUUGAUACUGGCAUUCUCGAGUCCGGAAGAGGUGAGUGGAAUUCCGAGUGUAGAGGUGAAAUUCGUAGAUAUUCGGAGGAACACCAGUGGCGAAGGCGGCUCACUGGUCCGGUACUGACGCUGAGGUGCGAAAGCGUGGGGAGCAAACAGG